rnacentral:rRNA from 1 species
AUUGAGCGCUGGCGGCAUGCCUUACACAUGCAAGUCGAACGGUAACAGGUCUUCGGAUGCUGACGAGUGGCGAACGGGUGAGUAGUACAUCGGAACGUGCCUAGUAGUGGGGGAUAACUACUCGAAAGAGUGGCUAAUACCGCAUUAGAUCUACGGAUGAAAGCAGGGGAUCGCAAGACCUUGUGCUACUAGAGCGGCCGAUGGCAGAUUAGGUAGUUGGUGGGAUAAAAGCUUACCAAGCCGACGAUCUGUAGCUGGUCUGAGAGGACGAUCAGCCACACUGGGACUGAGACACGGCCCAGACUCCUACGGGAGGCAGCAGUGGGGAAUUUUGGACAAUGGGCGCAAGCCUGAUCCAGCAAUGCCGCGUGCAGGAUGAAGGCCUUCGGGUUGUAAACUGCUUUUGUACGGAACGAAAAGCCCUGGGUUAAUACCCUGGGGUCAUGACGGUACCGUAAGAAUAAGCACCGGCUAACUACGUGCCAGCCGCCGCCGUAAAAC